CCCCUAGAUGUUCUGGGCCGCACGCGCGCUACACUGAACAGUUCAACAAGUCUUAACCUUGGCCGAUAGGUCUGGGUAAUCUUUGAACGCUGUUCGUGAUUGGGAUAGACCUUUGCAAUUAUGGGUCUUCAACGAGGAAUUCCUAGUAAACGCAAGUCAUCAGCUUGCAUUGAUUACGUCCCUGCCCUUUGUACACACCGCCCGUCGCUACUACCGAUUGAAUGAUUUAGUGAGGACUUCGGACUGGGACCGAUGCGGCUUUCGGGCUGCGUCGGUAUUCUGGAAAGAUGUCCAAACUGUAUCAUUUAGAGGAAGUAAAANUCGUANCA
rnacentral:rRNA from 1 species